UGGGGUAUAGCCAAGUGGUAAGGCAACGGGUUUUGAUCCCGUCAUUCGUUGGUUCGAGUCCAGCUACCCCAG
rfam:Paraglaciecola arctica BSs20135 DNA, contig: CTG064.